rnacentral:rRNA from 1 species
CAGCCGCCGCGGUAAUACGAAGGGUGCAAGCGUUAAUCGGAAUUACUGGGCGUAAAGCGUGCGUAGGCGGUGAGUUAAGUCUGCUGUGAAAUCCCCGGGCUCAACCUGGGAAUGGCAGUGGAUACUGGCUCGCUAGAGUGUGUCAGAGGAUGGUGGAAUUCCCGGUGUAGCGGUGAAAUGCGUAGAGAUCGGGAGGAACAUCAGUGGCGAAGGCGGCCAUCUGGGACAACACUGACGCUGAGGCACGAAAGCGUGGGGAGCAAACAGGAUUAGAUACCCCCGUAGUCCUGUCUCUUAUACA